rnacentral:rRNA from 1 species
AGCAGUAGCCGCGGGAAUACGAAGGGGGCUAGCGUUGUUCGGAUUUACUGGGCGUAAAGCGCACGUAGGCGGAAUUUUAAGUCAGGGGUGAAAUCCCGGGGCUCAACCCCGGAACUGCCUUUGAUACUGGAAGUCUUGAGUAUGGUAGAGGUGAGUGGAAUUCCGAGUGUAGAGGUGAAAUUCGUAGAUAUUCGGAGGAACACCAGUGGCGAAGGCGGCUCACUGGACCAUUACUGACGCUGAGGUGCGAAAGCGUGGGGAGCAAACAGGAUUAGAUACCCCUGUAGUCCCUGUCUCUUAUAC